UACGUAGGGUGCAAGCGUUGUCCGGAAUUAUUGGGCGUAAAGAGCUCGUAGGCGGUCUGUCGCGUCUGCUGUGAAAACUCGGGGCUUAACCCCGGGCCUGCAGUGGGUACGGGCAGACUAGAGUGCGGUAGGGGAGACUGGAAUUCCUGGUGUAGCGGUGAAAUGCGCAGAUAUCAGGAGGAACACCGGUGGCGAAGGCGGUUCUCUGGGCAUUACCUGACGCUGAGGAGCGAAAGUGUGGGGAGCGAACAGG
rnacentral:rRNA from 1 species